rnacentral:rRNA from 1 species
CUUGCUUCUCUUGAGAGCGGCGGACGGGUGAGUAAUGCCUAGGAAUCUGCCUGGUAGUGGGGGAUAACGUCCGGAAACGGACGCUAAUACCGCAUACGUCCUACGGGAGAAAGCAGGGGACCUUCGGGCCUUGCGCUAUCAGAUGAGCCUAGGUCGGAUUAGCUAGUUGGUGGGGUAAUGGCUCACCAAGGCGACGAUCCGUAACUGGUCUGAGAGGAUGAUCAGUCACACUGGAACUGAGACACGGUCCAGACUCCUACGGGAGGCAGCAGUGGGGAAUAUUGGACAAUGGGCGAAAGCCUGAUCCAGCCAUGCCGCGUGUGUGAAGAAGGUCUUCGGAUUGUAAAGCACUUUAAGUUGGGAGGAAGGGCAGUAAAUUAAUACUUUGCUGUUUUGACGUUACCGACAGAAUAAGCACCGGCUAACUCUGUGCCAGCAGCCGCGGUAAUACAGAGGGUGCAAGCGUUAAUCGGAAUUACUGGGCGUAAAGCGCGCGUAGGUGGUUCGUUAAGUUGGAUGUGAAAUCCCCGGGCUCAACCUGGGAACUGCAUUCAAAACUGACGAGCUAGAGUAUGGUAGAGGGGUGGUGGAAUUUCCUGUGUAGCGGUGAAAUGCGUAGAUAUAGGAAGGAACACCAGUGGCGAAGGCGACCACCUG